CCUACGGGCGGCAGCAGUGAGGAAUAUUGGUCAAUGGACGCAAGUCUGACCCAGCCAUGCCGCGUGCAGGAAGACGGCUCUCUGAUUUGUAAACUGCUUUUUUACGAACGUAAACGCUGACACUCCUAUCUGUCUGAAAGUCUCCUACGUAUAAGGCUCGACUAACUCCGUGCCAGCCGCCGCGGUAAUACGGAGGAUUCACUCGUUGUCCGGAUUUUUUGGGUUUAAAGGGUGCGUAGGCGGUAGGAUAAGUUAGAGGUGAAAUCCCGAGGCUCAACUUCGGAAUUGCCUCUGAUACUGUUCGGCUAGAGAGUAGUAGCGGUAGGCGGAAUGUAUGGUGUAGCGGUGAAAUGCUUAGAGAUAAUACAGAACACCGGUUGCGAAGGCAGCUUACCAAGCUACUUCUGACGUUGAGGCACGAAAGCGUGGGGAGCAAACAGGAUUAGAUACCCGUGUAGUC
rnacentral:rRNA from 1 species